rnacentral:rRNA from 1 species
UACGUAGGGUGCGAGCGUUGUCCGGAAUUAUUGGGCGUAAAGGGCUCGUAGGCGGUUUGUCGCGUCGGGAGUGAAAUCACUGGGCUUAACCGAGUGUGUGCUUUCGAUACGGGCAGACUGGAGGCAUUCAGGGGAGAACGGAAUUCCUGGUGUAGCGGUGAAAUGCGCAGAUAUCAGGAGGAACACCGGUGGCGAAGGCGGUUCUCUGGGAAUGUCCUGACGCUGAGGAGCGAAAGUGUGGGGAGCGAACAGG